rfam:Selaginella moellendorffii unplaced genomic scaffold SELMOscaffold_48, whole genome shotgun sequence.
GGCUGCAUAGCGCAGUGGAUUAGCGCGUCAGACUUCGGAUCUGAAGGUCGAGGGUUCGAAUCCCUCUGUGGUCG